rnacentral:lncRNA from 1 species
CUUCCUAGAUACUGUUUUGGGGACUAGUUUCUUGUCUUUUGUCCUUGAUUUAUUAUUGCCUUUAUGUGUUCUCCCCAUUUGGUUCAUUUUAUUCUUAUUUUAAAAGAACAGCUCCAAAGACCCUUCUAUUUUCAUGGAAAUUGCUCAGUAGUAACAAUUUCAGAUAGCUUCCAGAAGAAUAAUCAUCACACUGGCCAUUUUACCCAAGAAGCUUUGCAGCAUUUCACAUAACAAUUUACUAAUUAAUGACAAAUUAAAUGGAAUUUGGUAAGAAGAAUCAGAGGUUAGAGUGCUGGUAUAUAUUGUGUGUAAAAAGGUAUGCAAAUAUCUUCAGCCCAUUUGUGGUUCAUCAGUGGGAAAUAAUAGCUAUUC